AUUUCAAGGCAUCCUCCAUUGUUCUAUGUGUUCGUAGUCUUAAUGUGUGUCUGCUCAGAGAGUGUAUCCUUCGCUCGACUGUCACAAUGACACUCACAGGGGCGCUGAUUUCUCUAAUCUGUCUCUCAAUCCGAGAGAAAAGUACCUGUCAAAGAGCGGCACGCCACUCUCAGAGCGCCGUCCGACACAUCUCAAUGCGUGCCGAGUGGAAGGGCACAUAUCGGUCCUGUGGAGAGGCCACCAACACAACGUUCCUGAAGAACUGCAGACCUGGACAAAGAAAGUAAAAAAACAUGGGGUCACUGCUUGUUGUCACCUAAACAGGGCGUGUCCACGUAUCUGUCCUCAAAGAUGAUUGGCAGGCUGCUCCAGUCUCCGUCGAUGUCCAGGCAUUCCACAGGAAGUGGAGGCAUUUGGAGCAGAAAGAACACCAUAUAGAUUUUGAAGGUCAUUAGGGUGAGUAAAUGAU